CUGGUUGAUCCUGCCAGUAGUCAUAUGCACGUCUCAAAGAUUAAGCCAUGCAUGUCUAAGUAUAAGCAAUUUAUACAGUGAAACUGCGAAUGGCUCAUUAAAUCAGUUAUCGUUUAUUUGAUAGUACCUUACUACUUGGAUAACCGUGGUAAUUCUAGAGCUAAUACAUGCUUAAAAUCCCGACUGUUUGGAAGGGAUGUAUUUAUUAGAUAAAAAAUCAAUGUCUUCGGACUCUUUGAUGACUCAUAAUAACUUUUCGAAUCGCAUGGCCUUGUGCUGGCGAUGGUUCAUUCAAAUUUCUGCCCUAUCAACUUUCGAUGGUAGGAUAGUGGCCUACCAUGGUUUCAACGGGUAACGGGGAAUAAGGGUUCGAUUCCGGAGAGGGAGCCUGAGAAACGGCUACCACAUCCAAGGAAGGCAGCAGGCGCGCAAAUUACCCAAUCCCGACACGGGGAGGUAGUGACAAUAAAUAACGAUACAGGGCCCUUUCGGGUCUUGUAAUUGGAAUGAGUACAAUGUAAAUACCUUAACGAGGAACAAUUGGAGGGCAAGUCUGGU
rnacentral:rRNA from 1 species